AAUUCCUUAUCUCUUUAUUUAUGAAUUUUAUAUUUCAAAUUUGAGCAUCUAUUUUAUUUAUUGGAACCUUUAAAAGUUAUUCUAUAGUUUAAGAGUUGCCAAAACUUGACUUUUCAAAAUAUUGCAAAUUGACUCGAAUGAAAGGAUAUGACUCAUACAACUCUCCUAAAAUUAAUACUAUUUCGCUAGCUUGGACAAAAACUGAUCGAUUAUUAAAAAUAUGAGGACUAAAAUGAGUAUUUUAAAAACUUGUGAACUGUUUUGUGGACUUAUGGACUAUAUGGACUGAUUUAAGACUUGUGGACUGAUUUGGACAGUCAAAACUUGGACUAAAAUUGGAUUAAAACUAAUAAAAAAUAAAUAUAGUUGACCUAUGGACACUAAUAGUAUGCCUUAAAGUAUUUUCUACACUUAAAUAGAAAUUCUUUAAAAACUUAAAAUUUAAAAGGGUGGGCUUACGUGAUGUUCUACUUAGGUUAAAGGCCUUCGGGAGUUAACCUAGGUGUUCUAGUCCAAAACCCAACGCCCAAUUUUGGGUAAAAUUCUAGCACUUUCGUUUCUUCAAAAUAUACUAUCCAAAACCCAACGCCCAAUUUUGGGCAAAAUUCUAGCACUUUCGUUUCUUCAAAUAUAGUAUAUUUUGCAUGAAUGACUAACUUUUGUUGUGGAAAUGUAGACAGAAAUAUUUGUUUUUCACAAUAAACAAUUUAUAUCUACAAAGGCAUACUAUUAGAACCUGUAGGUCAAUCGUAUUUUAGGGAUCUUUAAUACCGGGGUAUCUAAUACCUUCCCGAGGGGAUCACCAGAACCCUUACCCGAACUUUGGUAAGAUUAGUAUUCUUUUAAAAUUUAACCGUUUUGAAUGAACCAUUUUCAAACUGGUUUUUCUUAAUUUCCUUAAAAUUAGGUGGCGACUCUAAACAAUAUCCAUUUAGAGCACCAUCACGUAGAGGUAUAUUUUUCCUUUUUUCCAGUACAUUUUUCUUUUUAAUGAGGCAAGUGCAAAUACGAAUCGGAAAAAAUAUCGACCCGCUACAGAUGACGACUCUGCUGGGGAACAAUUUAAGGUUCUAACUAUAAGGGUUCCAAUAAUUUGUGUGUUUGUAUAUAUAAAUUGUUUAAGUGAUAUAAAUUGUUUAUUUGUUUAAAUUUUCGCAAAAAUAUAAAUGUCAUUCAUGCAUGCAUACUCCGCCACUCCUGACAUUUAUUUUAUAUUUUUCCAAGGGUGACGAUGCGGGAUGACGGUCAUACCUUUACUAAAAAACCUUUUUGCUAUAUUCUUUAGAGAGCCCACCCCAGCUUGUCCGCUUGGGUAACCUGUGUUAUUGGCUUAAAAAUCACUUUAGAAUAAUUAGUGUAGAGCGAAGCCAAAUCCUUACUGAUAUAGCGCAUGCUGACCAUAGACUGGUUUGGGUAUCUCAGACCUACCUGAAUCAGACAUGAGAGAUACCUUACUGUAUUCAGAUGGUGUAAAAAACCUGAAUACACUGCAUCCCACUAUUUGCUCUUUGGAAGCAUUAUUGGGCCUAGUGUGAAAUAAAUUACUAUUCCUCGGGGCAGGGAACUAACAAAGUUCUGUCUUGCAGAUGUCUCCUAAUGUGCAGUUUGAUAUGAUUGUGGGUCCACCACCAGGUUUAGUGAUAUGGUGGGAAGGUUUGACUAAUGAUCAGAAGAAAGAGGUAAAUGGUUGCAUAGGGCAUCUACCUUCGUUGAUGAGUGUGACUGAGGAUCCAGGUCUGUUAGAGAUUAUUACUAGUUAGUGGGAUAAUGACAGAAUGGUGUUCAGAUUUGAGGAAAUAGAGAUGACUUCCACUUUAGAAGAGAUUAGAGAUUUCUUGGAAAGCGUAGGAAGCGCUAACAGGUCUAAAAAGAAGUUAGCUCAAAAUAUCCUCAUCCCUCACAAACCUACCCCAAAAGAAACCAAAGAUAUGUUUUCUGUCAACAAAGACGAUUAGGCAUAGGGGCCCACUAUAGCCUUUAGGGAGUUAUAUGGGGGGUAUUAAUCCAAACAGGGGUACGAAAACCACAUUCUUGAGUUUUCUUCACUCCAAUCCUGGGAAGCUAACCAAACGCUAGCCUUUAUAACCUGCUUAUUGGGAACCAUGGUAUUUCUACUAAAUGCCUCCCUAGCUAUUGACACCCGAGUUGUCUUUGUUGCCCACGCUGUUCUUGUGUAGGUACAACGAAUGAGCUUACCAAAUAUUUUGACAUCAUCCCUAUUAUCCUAUCAGACAUAUACCGAGCUUUGGAAAAGUGUCACAACCAUUAUUACUACUUAUAGGGUUGCAACCUCUUAGUCCAAUGGUGGGUACUCAAACAUCUCGAUAAGAGCGGUUUAUCCUUUCGCCGAGAUCCGGCCCUAAGAGAGGGUGAUUUGGGAGUCACCGCUGUGCCUUGUGGGGUUUAAGAUAAAAGAGGAUGGGCUCACAUCUUUUCCAGACUUACAGAAGAACAUAUCAGGUGGAGAGUACCUGAUUGUCAUUCCAAAACUAUUUGUGUUAAGAGCCGUAGGCGUCCAUAUUUGCCGCUUAUGGGCAUUAGAGGGAUCAGACCCUACGCACCAUUGAGAGUACUUAGACAGUUUGGUAUGAGAGAGGUUAUUCCAAAUGUGGGAAAUAUAGGAGAGUUUGUACGAGAUUAUGAAGGUCAUAUCGAAGGUAUAAAAGACGCCCAGAAAGAUUGGAAGAAUGUGAUAAGGGAAGAUAAGUUGGAUGAGGAUCCAAACAAUCCAAGUCAUGAUGAAAACUACUACGAGUGGCUUAGGGCUGAGCUAGCUGGUACUGCUACUCCAGGACCGUAUCUGUACAAAUUUCCUGUAGAUAGGGAAGCCGUGAAUGCAAUUCAGGUUAGACGAAUGAAACGACGGGUGGAAGGAAGAGAAGCAGAUCACCAAGCAAAAACAGAAUAUGACCAAGAGAUAAUUAAGAGUUUGACAGACGAGGCGGAUGCCUCAUUGAAGAGCUUAUAAUGGCUUUACACUUUUGUUAAGGAAGCCAUAGAUACAGGGACGUCAUUGACUGACGAUCAGAAGGGUUAGUGGAUCGGAACAACAUUCAUGUCAGCCCAUGUAGCCAUUUAGACCGCCCUUCGAAGGGCCAAGAAGGCACGAGAUGAUAGAGAGCAGAUUUCUGUCCGUGGAGUGGACUUUUUCUGAUUAUUGCAUUUUAUUUACUUAAAAAAGCCUUGUAAUCCCACUUGGAAAUAUAUUAUUAAUGAAAAGAACUAGGAUUUUUAUUUUUUUGUGAACAAUACAUUUGUUUUACAUAUGGCACAAUUCUGCUUCAUACGCCAGUAGCCUCGGAGCAACGAGGCAUAGGAAAGCUAAUUAUAUAUUGUCUAAAUGCUUAUUUGAUAUAACUACUUUGUGUGAAGAUCAUAUAUAUUGUUGAAACUCUUGAUUGGUCCACAUUCCGGACACUACCCAAAAGAAAAACCAAGAAAAUAACCCCUAAAACCGAAUUUAGCUCCACUUUUAAAAGGUUGAUUUGCUAAAAGGAAAUGGAGACUCCAGACAGCAUGAGUGCAACUUCACCUUACGUCAACCUAGUCAGUGAUGAUGAGAACAUAGAAGCGACAAGUGAGAAAAACUGACAGUGGGACGAUAGUAUGGCCCUGGCUACUGCUAGAAUGAAAGAAGCUGUCUAAAUUACUAAGGUGGCCAAUGAGAAAAUGAAAGAAGCUGAAACUCUCAUGGCUUAUGUUGAGGAGCUAACUAAGAAACACCCUGUCAAUCGGGUAAAAUGGGGAAAGACACCUGAAGCACCACUUGGGAGUUAUGUCCCACUCAAUCAACGAGAAGGGAUUGACCGCAUACCUUUUGGAGAUGACGAACUACUCAUCCCCAAUCUCAAAGUCUAUGGAGACCCGCGCGAAACUCAGCUCGAGGAACCUCCGGUUUCAUGCACAAUUGUUCUCAAGGGUAUGAGAUCACACAAUUGGGGUUCACCAGUAGAAAUAUCCAAACAAUAACUCCUAGAGACUUUGGGGAGUUUUGGAGUAUACACGCAAAGCCCAAAUCUAUUGCCGCCGUGUGCUCCUUCUAUGAUUUACAGAAAGUGCCUCUACCACCGAAGUCAGUCAGGACAUACAACCAACGAGUGUGGAGCAUUGGAAAUGAAGCUUAUCCAAUGGAUUGACCAAGGGAUAAUUAUCCAACUGUGCAGGCCCUACUAUUUCCUGACCCAUGACCAAGGGCAUAUAUGGAGUAUAAGCCAGCUGGGUCUCCUCCGUUGACUUGGGUUCGGUUUUACUCUGUGUUCUUGGAUAAGUAUGUUCCGCGUAACCUGAGGGACCAAAAAAAGGAUGAGUUCAUUACUAUUGAUCAGGUGAACUCAUCGGUUACUGUGUAUGAGUUCCGUUUCCACUCCCUAUCUCGAUAUGCCCUUCAGUUGCUGCCCAUUGAGGGGGAAAGGAUACGGCGGUUCGUGAAGGGGUUGAACACUGGGCUUCAGUUAUCGGCUCUUCAGCUUGUAGCCACUGGGCUUCAUUCCAGGAGAUAGUAGAGCAUGUCCAUACUGUUGAGGGUAUUAGGUAGGAGAGUCAUGCGAAGCAGGUAGAGAAGAAGGCCCGUAGGGGUGGGAUGUUCAGCAAAUCCUUCUCGAUGGGUUAGAGUUAAGAGGUAUAUUCAGGGCGUCCGGUUCAGUUCGCGAUGCAAGUGUCAGAUGGGGGCCCAUCAGGGGCAAACUAUCAGGCUUCCGGUCAUCAUGGAGGCUACGCUGCUUCAUCAGCUUUUAUUCAGUGGCCUACGUUGGAUCGUGCUUGCUUCGAGUAUGGUGAGAUAGGGCAUCUCAAGAGGUAUUAUCCCAAACUUAGACAGAGUGGGCAGGGGACUUAGUAUCAGGCUCCCCGAGCUCCGUUUGCACCAGAUCGAGAGGGUAAGGAUCUCGCACCGGCAGGGUGGAGCGCCCACACCGCGGGUACGGGUGGUGCCCAGCCUAGCCGAGGUGGUCCUCAGGUAGGUAGAGGCGAAUAGCAGCCCGGCAGGGGCGGGGCUUAUACUGGUAACGUUAAUCGCGGUGGUUCACAGGCGAUGGGAGGGCACAGUCAUUUGUACGCUUUCCCAGGUAGACCUGAGGCUGAGGCCUCUGAUGCAGUUAUCACAGGUGCUAUCUCAGUUUAUGACCGGAUGGCUUCUGUUUUUUUUUAUUCGGGCUCUAUUUUUUCUUAUGUAUCUACCUAUUUUGUUGUGGGUCUGGAUAUGAUGUGUGAUACCUUUUAUGCCCCUAUUUAUGUAUCUACUCCUGUUGGGGACUCUGUGGUGGUGGAUAGUGUCUAUCCUUCGUGUGCGAUUUCUUUUAUGAGGUAUAGUACUUGGGCAGAUUUGAUGAUCUUAGACAUGGUAGAUUUCGAUGUUAUAUUGGGUAUGAGUUGGUUGUCCCUGCAUUGUGCUAUACUAGAUUGUCAUUCUAAGACUGUUACACUAGCCAUGCCCGGGGCACCUAGACUAGCAUAGGAGGGGUAACCUUAGUCCUCUCCUUAAGAAAGUAAUAUCCUUUGUUCGUGCUAGGAAGCUAGUAGAGAAGGGUUGUCUAGCUUAUCUGGCACAUAUCCAUGACACCAGUGCUUAUACUUCAUCCUUUGAUUCGGUUCCAGUGGUAUGCGAGUUUUCAGAUGUGUUCCCCGCGGACUUACCUGGUAUGCCACCGGAUGCUCCUGUGUUGUUUGUUGAGAAGAAGGAUGGGUCUAUGUGCAUAUAUAUUGAGUAUCUUUAACUGAAUAAGGUAACUGUCCGAAACAAGUAUCCCAUUCCCCGUAUUGAUGACUUUUUUGAUCAGUUACAGGGAGCUUAUGUGUUCUCUAAAAUCGAUUUAAGGUCAGGGUACCAUUAGUUGAAGAUUCGAGCAGAGGAUGUUCCUAAAACCGCUUUUCGGACCAGGUAUGAGCAUUAUGAGUUCUUGGUUAUGUCUUUUGGGCUUACAAAUUCCCCAGCUACGUUCAUGGAUUUGAUGAACAGUGUGUUUAAGCCCUAUUUAGAUUCAUUCGUAAUAGUGUUCAUUGAUGAUAUCCUGGUGUACUCUAGGAGUAAGGAAGAGCAUGAGAAACAUUUGAGAAUUGCUCUUGGGGUAUUGCGAGAGAAGGAGAUGUAUGCUAAAUUCUCCAAGUGUGAAUUCUGGUUGUCUUCUGUGUCUUUCUUGUGGCAUGUUGUUUCGAAAAAGGGUAUUAUGGUGGGUCUUAGAAAAUUCGGGUAGUCAGGGAAUGGGCUAGGCCUACAUCAGUGACCGAGAUCCGUAGUUUCGUGGGUCUGGCUAGCUACUAUCGUCGGUUUGUGAGAGGGUUUGCCUCUAUUGCUUCUCAUUUGAACCGCUUGACUCAGAAAGAGGUACCGUUUCAGUGGUCCGAUGAGUGUGAGGAGAUCUUUCAAAAGCUCAAAACAUUGUUGACUACAACACCGAUUCUAGCAUUGCCCGUGGAGGGCAAGGAUUUUGUUAUUUAUUGUGAUGCUUCACGUUCUGGUUUGGGUGCUGUUUUGAUGCAGGAAAACAUGGUGAUUGCUUAUGCUUCUCGGCAAUUGAAGGUGCAUGAGAAGAACUAUCGUACUCAUGAUCUAGAGUUGGCAGCAGUGGUGUUUGCGUUGAUGGAGGCACUACUUGUAUGGUGUCCAUUGUGAAGUGUACACAGAUCAUCGCAGUUUGCAGCAUGUGUUCACUCAGAGGGAUCUGAACUCUAGGCAGCAGAGAUAGAUGGAACUGCUGAAAGACUAUGACAUCACUAUUCUAUAUCAUCCUGGUAAGGCAAAUGUAGUGGCUGACGCAUUGAGCAGGAAGUCAACUAGUAUGGGAAGUUUGGCUCGUUUGAUUUUUUCGGAGCGUCCGUUAGUUAGAGAAGUUCAGACUUUGGCUAAUAGUUUUAUGAGGCUGAAAAUUUCUAACACAGGCAAGGUGUUGGCUUGUGUUAAGGCUCGAUCGUCAUUUUUAGAGCAGAUUAAGGCUAAGCAGUUUGAGGAUGCUAAGUUGUGCAAAAUACGUCAUAAGGUGUUACGUGGUGAGGCUAAGGAAGUCGUGAUUAAUAAGGAGGCGUGCUGCGAAUUAAAGGGCGAGUAUGUGUGCCACAUGUGGGCGACUUGAUCAAGACCAUUCUGACAGAGGCUCACAGUUCAAGAUAUUCUAUACAUCCUGGUGCCACUAAGAUGUAUCGUGAUUUGAGACAACAUUAUUGGUGGAGUGGGAUGAAGCGUAAUAUAGUAGAGUUCGUUGCUCAGUGUCUGAACUACCAACAGGUGAAGUUUGAACAUCAGAAACCUGGGGAUACACUACAGAAGAUGCCUAUUCCUAAGUGGAAGUGGGAAAUGAUAGCCAUGGAUUUCGUAGUGGGUCUUCCGAAGACGCUAGGGAAGUUUGACUCUAUCUGGGUUAUUGUUGAUAGGUUGACUAAGUCUGCCCAAUUUUAUUACAGUGAAGAUAACUUAUGAUGCGGAGAAAUUAGCUAAAGUCUACAUUCGUGAGGUGCUUAGACUUCACGGGGUUCCUAUCUCCAUUGUGUCUGAUAGGGGCGCCACAUUCACAUCCAGGUUUUGGGAGUGUUUGUACGAGAAGUUGGGUACGAAGUUAGAUCUUAGCACAACCUUCCACCCUUAGACUGAUGGGUAGUCUGAGCGGACUAUUCAGGUUCUUGAGAAUAUGCUUCGUGCGUGCGUGAUAAAUUUUGGUGGGUAUUGGGAUCAAUUCUUGCCUUUGGCCGAGUUUGCCUACAAUAAUAGCUAUCACUUAAAUAUUGAUAUGGCCCCAUUUGAGGCGUUGUAUGGAAGGAGGUGUAGGUCUCCUAUUGGAUGGUUUGAUGCGUUCGAGGUGAGGCUGUGGAGUACCAACCUUCUGGGAGAGUCCCUAGAGAAGGUAAAGCUGAUUCAAGCGAAGCUUCUAGCAGCGCAGAGUAGGCACAAAGAGUAUGCGAACCGCAAGGUCCGAGAUCUUGAGUUUGAGGAAAGAGAACAAAUGUUGUUGAAGGUCUCACCCAUGAAGGGUGUGAUGAGGUUUGGAAAGAAGGGAAAGCUUAGCCCGAGGUAUAUUGGGCCGUUUGAGAUCCUCAAAUGUGUAGGAAAAGUGGCUUACAAGUUGGUUUUACCUCCGGGUCUAUCAGGCGUUCAUCCGGUGUUCCAUGUGUCGAUGUUGAAGAGGUACCACAGCGAUGGUUCCUACAUAAUCCGUUGGGAUUCGAUUUUGCUAGAUGAGAAUUUGUCAUAUGAGGAAGAGCCUGUUGUUAUCUUAGACAGGGAUGUUCGCAAGUUGAGGUCCAAGAAAAUUGCCUCCGUGAAAGUCUAGUGGAAGAAUCGUCCGGUGGAGGAAGCUACUUGAGAAACAGAAUCUGAUAUGCGUAGCAAGUACCCUCAGCUUUUCGCCGAGAUAGGUAACUCCUCCCAAGAUUUCUCAUCUUUGUCCGUUCGGGGACGAAUAGUGUUUUAAUUGGUAUCUGGUGUAACGACCCUUCCGGUCGAUAUAGAAAAUGUAAGAACCCCACCAAAUGUUACCUUUUCAAGGGUAGUACGAACCAGUAGAAACUCAAUCGUGUAAGCUUAUGACCUGUAACUUGACUUUUUUGUGGUUGUUACUUAAUUUCCUUUAGUCCGUCGGGGGGUGAUGUAGAAAAUUAAAACUACGUUGGGAAUUCUGAGGCCAUGGGUGGAUUCGUAGGGCGUCUUUAUGUAUUUGUACGUGCUUGUUUUGUGUUUUUGAGGCCUCGGAUGAAAUGUUGGGCGUAGGGGGAAACACUGAUCAAAAAGUCAAGCUCACUGCCCAAAAUGGACCGCUGCAGCGGUGGAAGUACUACGGCGGCGGUAGUACCGCGGCGGCUUGACUGCUGCCAGCAUCCAUCCAUGUCCUUGGUGGCUGCUGUGGCUGGCGGUGGACCGCUAUGGCGGCACCGCUAUAGCGGUGCACAGGCCACCGUAGCGGUCAAGCGGAUUCCCUUUGGUCCGCUAUAGCAGUCACUUGACUGCUAUAGCGGGACCGCUGCAGUGGCGUGAUGACCGUUGUAGCAGUCGACAGAAAACAGUGGCCCGAGAUUUUUAUACUUAGUCUUAUAUUCUCUAUUCACAAAACACCAACACACUUCCCAACAAGCACCUAGAGUGAAAUUCCAAGCUAGGGAAAGAAACUCUUGAAAGGUAAGUUUCAUCUAUUCCAUUCUCCAUCUAUUCUAUUCUAUCAUUCCAUUCACCUUUAUGAUUGUUAUCCCCUUCAUGGGUCUUUAAUGGUGAAAUUGAAAUAGAAACCCUAGAAUAUUAAUAAAGCUUCUAAACGUGAUUGGUUAUGGUUAUUACCCCUUAGUUAUCAACUAAAGGCUUGGGUUAAUUUCUCUUAAUCAUGAAUUGAACACUUAGAGUCAUAAACUAAGUGAAUGGAGACCUAGGGCUCUAUAAAAAUGGUAUCUUGACCAUAAAAACUGCUUGUAAUGGAAAUAUUGAUAGAAUGUUGUUAUAAUUUGAUGAUUAAUGAUUACUGAGGCCCUUGAUAAGUUGUUUAACACCUAGGAAAUCAUCCAACCCUUGGAAUGGGGUAAAGGGAAGGGUAUUCUUGCAUUGGUACUUGUGAUUUGAGUAAUUGUGACUCAUUGAGUCUUCUAUUUCUAGACUUUGAGCGUUCUGAGGCUUUAAGGAAAGGAAAGGCUGUAGCGGAGUGACUUGCGUUGUCCCAGCUCUACAUUGAGAUUGUGAUACGGAGACUGCUACCCGCCCUCACAUCUAGCGUGGAGGACGUUUGCUGACAGAUUUGGGGUGAGCUUCUUCCCAUGCCAGGCUGCCCGAAGAUCUUCUUCUUAUGAUGUCUUUUUGUAUUCUGGACAUUAUGGAUAAUUAUAGUCCGAUUUCAUUCCUUAGAAAUGUUUUAGAUUAGAGUCCUGUACGAUGACUUUCGGAUUUUGGGGAUUUGGUAAUAGUUAGAACUUCCGCACUUAUUUCAGUAUUUCAUGUCAUGACUUAUUCUGUUCAUUUGAUGUUUGAAUGAGUAAUAACUGAUUAGUUUGGUUAAUAUAAAA